AUGCCUUACACAUGCAAGUCGGACGGCAGCGCGGGCUUCGGCCUGGCGGCGAGUGGCGAACGGGUGAGUAAUACAUCGGAACAUGUCCAGUAGUGGGGGAUAGCCCGGCGAAAGCCGGAUUAAUACCGCAUACGCUCUGYGGAGGAAAGCGGGGGAUCGAAAGACCUCGCGCUAUUGGGGUGGCCGAUGGCGGAUUAGCUAGAUGGUGGGGUAAAGGCCUACCAUGGCGACGAUCCGUAGCUGGUCUGAGAGGACGACCAGCCACACUGGGACUGAGACACGGCCCAG
rnacentral:rRNA from 1 species